CUAGAGGAGGACAUGCUAGAAGUUGAUUGUCCUUGUGUCACCCCUGAAGUUGUCUUGAAAGCAUCUGGUCAUGUUGAUAAAUUUACUGAUCUUAUGGUUAAAGAUGAAAAGACUGGAACAUGUUACAGAGCUGAUCACCUUCUUAAAGAUCAUUGUAAAGAUAAGCUUGAAAAAGAUCUGGCUAUGAGUGCUGACAAGGCUGCUGAAUUCAAACACAUUCUUGCUGUUCUUGAUGAUCUUUCAGCUGAGGAACUUGGUGCAAAGAUCAAGGAAUAUGGCAUUGUUGCACCUGACACUAAGAAUCCUCUUUCGGAUCCUUACCCUUUCAAUCUCAUGUUUCAGACCUCAAUUGGUCCUUCUGGCGUAAGCCCUGGGUCAGUAUUAUAUCUUAUAACAAUCAUGGUUUUACAUUCUUCCAUAUUUUACUCGUUUCAUUUGAUAUGAUUCAGGUAUAUGCGACCUGAAACAGCACAAGGCAUAUUUGUUAACUUCAAAGACUUGUAUUAUUACAAUGGUAACAAGCUACCUUUUGCUGCUGCUCAAAUUGGUCAAGCUUUCAGAAAUGAGGUCAUUUGCUUUUAAGCCCCAAAUACCAAUCUUGUUAUUUUUAUUUUGUUAAGGUCUACUCGGAUUGGAUUUUCUUUUUGGGCCCCUGUUUUUCGGUUUUUAGUCUUUGAAGCAAUAAAAUUUGGAGUCGAAUAAGUGACAUUUUGUUGUCAUCUUUCUUCAGAUAUCUCCUAGGCAAGGUCUUCUAAGAGUCCGUGAAUUCACACUUGCAGAGAUCGAACACUUUGUGGAUCCUGAUGAUAAAUCACACCCAAAAUAUUCUGAAGUUGAAAAGCUUGAGUUUCUCAUGUUCCCAAGGGAUUUACAAAUGUCAGGCCAAUCUGCAAAAAGACUUUGUCUUGGUGAAGCCGUUUCUAAGGUUAGUUGUUAUUCGGUAUUUUAAAGCAAAGUAUAGGAAACAGCAAUUAAACAUGAUUUUCUUCACAGGGGAUUGUGAACAAUCAAACACUUGCAUACUUCAUCGGAAGAGUAUAUCUAUUUUUGACACGUUUGGGGAUCGAUGAAGAACGUUUGCGUUUCAGGCAGCAUCUUCCAAAUGAGAUGGCCCACUAUGCUGCAGAUUGUUGGGAUGCUGAAAUCGAAUCCUCUUAUGGUUGGAUCGAAUGCGUUGGGAUUGCUGAUAGAUCUGCUUAUGACCUACGUGCACACACGGUACCCUUUUGAAUUUUGAUUUUCUUUGUUGAUUGAUUUUCAUGUCAUCAUGUGGACAUAUGACGUGGCAGGUCUAUUGAAACAAUAGUAAAUAACAUUUUUGGUCCCACGAGUAUAGCUGAUUUUGUAAGUUUUGUCCUAAAAUGUUUUCUUGCUUUUUGGUUUUUAUUUGUAACGAUUUAUUAUCCAGUUCCAAGUAAAAUGAUUGAUUUUGGUCCCCAAGUAUUGUUGAUUUUUGAAAUUUUGGUCCUAAAAAUAGAUCUGGCAAUUUGAUACACGACAUGAGUUUUUCAUGUAUAGGUUUUAGAAAUUCGUGUUUCGUGUCUUACACGUGUCAAACAUGAAUUAAAUUUUGUUGACACGCGACACGUAUAAACAUGUAGAGACACGAAUUAAAAACUUGUCUAUUGGUGUCACGUAUCAGACAUUAAUUAUGUGUCGUUCGUGUUUGAUACGUAUACACGCCACACUGACACGGAUUGUCAGGUCUACCUAAAAGUAUAGUUAUUUUGCUUGGAACAGAAAACGUUACGUAAAACCUCAAAUAAGGACCAAAAUUGCAAAUGAAAAUUUUUUGGGAACAAAAUUGAAAAAAAUCAACUUUACUAACAAAAUUGUAAUUUACUUUUGAACAAUUUCAUUAGAGCAUACGGUGUGGAUCGUGUUGUUUUUUGUUGUGGCUGAGUUGGCAGCCCAUAACGCCGUUAUAACAUCAAAAACCCCCCCCCUCCCCCUUCUUAUUGCAUCUUGUUGUGGUGCUUCUUGUUGUCUCCAUGACAAGAAGAAACGUGAUCACCUAUUGGCUGCCAAAUUAUCUCUCUCUAUUUCUCUCCUCUUAACAUGGUGUUAUAACACGAUGAACACCACCCCCUCAUCUUGUUGCUUCUUGUUAUAAUACCACUUCAAGUUGCCCAUACCAUAUGCUCUUACAUAGUAACCAAUUUUUAGUUUUGUUGCAAUGUUGAAACAUUGAAGGGAAAAUGUCAUCAAUCAGUAUUCAAGUUUCACAAAUGUUCCAUUGUUGUGAAAUUUUGUUUGGCGAUGUUGGCUUUGAUAGUUUGAUACUGAUGUUCUUUGGGUUGAUUAUUGUAUUGAUGUCUUCUUGACAUGUAAUGGCAUUGCCUACAUUGAUUUUUGAAUGAAAAUGCUUUGCAACAUUUGUUCAAUAAUUUAAAAAAUAGUUUUAAAAACUUACAAUGCAGCUAGAUGAUAAUUGCAAUGUUUCUAAUGAUAUUCUUGAGUCUUGAUUUUUAUAGGACAAAAGUGGUGUUGCUCUUGUAGCUCAAGAGAAAUUUGCACAACCUAAAGAAGUUGAGGUAAUUAUUCUAGUUGUGUAGUUGAUGGUUUUAUAUUUUUAAUGGAGGAAAUUGCGAAAAUUUGGUGUAUUUUUUUUUUCAGAAAGUGAUUAUUACUCCCAUUAAAAAGGAGCUUGGGCUUGCAUUCAAGGGUAAUCAAAAGAUGGUAGUUGAAGCAUUGGAGGUAUAAACAAAUUCUUCUCUUAACUAUCAAACAGCCCCUCCCUAUACACCAAUUCUUGAUUUCCUGUUUUACGUAGACGAUGAGUGAAAAAGAGGCGAUGGAUAUGAAAUCUGUUUUGGAAACAAAAGGGGAGGUGGAGUUUGAAGUCUGCACUCUUGGGAAAACUGUUACAAUAACCAAAAAAAUGGUGACAAUAUCAAAAGAAAAAAAGAAAGAACACCAGAGAGUUUUUACACCUUCUGUUAUCGAACCUUCUUUUGGCAUUGGUUGAAUCAUCUACUGUCUCUAUGAACAUUCUUUCUACAUGAGACCAAGCAAAGCCGGAGAUGAACAGUUGAAUGUCUUCCGUUUCCCCCCUCUUGUGGCCCCCAUCAAAUGCACUGUUUUCCCUUUGGUUCAGAACGCUCAAUACGAACAAGUUGCUAAAAACAUCUCCAGAUCUUUGACUGCAGCCGGGAUUUCAAACAAGAAAGAUAUUACAGGUUUGCCAUUGUCUUGUUUGAUUACUUCUCAUAAGAAUUUUAACUUAACAUGUGUUUAUAUUGUAUAGGUACGUCAAUAGGAAAACGAUAUGCAAGAACAGAUGAGCUGGGUGUGCCAUUCGCUGUGACUGUGGAUUCCACGUCAUCAGUCACAAUCCGUGAAAGGGACAGCAAGGAUCAAAUCCGUGUCAGCAUCGAUGAGGUGGCGGCUGUUGUUAAGGAGGUCUCUGAGGGCCGUGCCACAUGGGCAGAUAUCUUGAAGAAAUACCCCGCCCACACUUCUCUUUCUGUGAAGGAGGUUUUUUGGCAAUUUUUUAGUUUUUUUAAGAGUUUUGGAACUUUUCGUAAUUUCUUUACUUUAUAGGCGUUGUUGAGUUGCAAAUCUCGGAACUGAUGAUGUGAUAUUUUUAUGUAUAGUGGUUUGAUAUUGUUUAUGUUUUUGUGAUGUAAUUACCACUAUGUAUAGUGCUUAGUUAGUGUGAUUAAGCCUAAGCUUCCUAUAAACUUCAAAUCUAUAUCUUGUAUUUUCACUCUAAUCAAUAAAGUACUAAAGCUUUGACCAUAUCAGAUCACUUGUACUUUUACUUUUACUGUUUGAUUCAUGACUGAUUUGGAAUGACAAUGGGGCGGGGCAGGGUAUCCCAUCCCCAAACCUGAUAUCAAAACUUGUUCCCUUCCCCGACCCGAUAUCCGCGGGUUUCUUAUCGGGGCUGAAAAUUUCCCCGAACUUGACCCUAAACCCAAAACCUGAAAUCUAUGCCAAAAAAAGUUAAAAUUGUUUGGAAAAACCUACAAUGGAACAGUGAAAAAUUAAAAUUUACAUAGGCUUACAACAUCAAAUACGUUCAUAACAUCAUUUAACCAUGUAGAAUUUAGUAGUAGUCUAAUAUUGUUAUAAAAGCAACCAACCAAGAAACCAAGUACAAAAUAUGAAAAACCAAAUUCAUCGCAAUAGUACAUUACAUUUAAACAUUAAAACAAACUCAAAAUCAAACCAAAUCAUCCAAACUUGUUGUCUCGUUUUCUGUAGUGUCUCCUACAAAAUGUUAAACAAACCCAAAAUCAUACCAAAACAUCCAAAGUAUAUAAAAGUAAUAUUCUUAUUAUCGUCAUUUUACAUCUUUCACAUCAUAAUAAAAUUCAACAUAACGACAAUAUGUCACUUCUAAACAAGUUAUUGUAUAUAAGAAAACAUAAAACAAUUUCAAAAAAAAAAUAAUACUAAUAUGCAAAAACGAUUUAUAUAUUAAUAUACAAUAAUAUAUUAGCUCGAAUUUCAUUCAACAACCAACUUUGAGCACACAUUAAAGCCUUCAAUGUUUAUGCAUGAAGUCGACUACGAUGAAGACUUGGGGCACCAGCAACGCCCUCUCCUGGAACUUGGCGGUUAUCUCCGCCACAGUCUCCGUCGGCUGUCUCAUAUCCAAAAACUCAUUGGCCAGCUGUUGAAGCUCGACAGGCGGCACAAACUCUGCCCUGAACCUGGUCGCGAAGUCCGACCAAGUCAUAGCCUCGACAGCUGAGGCUCCCAACGAGUCACCCACGGACUCCCACUAAUCCCUAGCUCGAUCUCGUAAACACCCUGCUGCAAACCUCACCUUCGACCCCUCAGGGCAGAAGCUGAUCAUCUGUACAGACUCAAUGUCUGCAAUCCAUCGCCUGACAGCUAUGGGGUCCUUUACCCCGUGAAAAUCCGGUGCACCACUGCCCCGGAAGUCCUUGAAGGACAGCGUGCAAGAUCCCGACUGGCCAGAUGCCAUGUCACUCCUGAAUGCCCUGAGGCGAUCCUCCAUCAACUCCAAUAUCCCUUCCUUGAUCGACCCGAAUAUAAGGGGGGUCAACUCAAGGAUGCCUCUGGUGAUCUCUGACGCGAUGAACUCGCGUAGCCCCUCAUCUACUGGCUCGGAACCUGAUCCCGAACCCGAUCCCUCUCCUUAACUGCCAACUACUGGCCUCGAGCGUAGUACCACCAUUCUGAAAUACAAAAAUAAUAAUUGUUAGCGAUACUGACACCUCUGGAGGGAUCACACGUACUACAAGUUCUCUGGUCUUAUCUUGGCCUUCCUUAGUUUCGGAUACGGAUCCUCUGCUUUCAGUAGUACGGGCCCAUACUACCUUCCACAUCUAUCCGUACCUUUUCCAAGGUCUUCCUUGACUCCACCAGGUCUCUUUUACUACCGCUGAUCACUGUUAUACUCAUCCUAGGCUUGCCCCGGGAAAUCUCUAACUCCACCCUACCCGGUCCUCAGCUGCUGAAGGCCUCCUUGUAAUGCCAAUUAGUCAUUACCUGAAUACCAUCACAUGUGUUGAGGCUCAGAUAAUCCUUCGAGUAACAGACUCGUCUCUACACGAUUAGACUCAGACAAAAGCCGCGCAGUAAGGCCAAAUCCAGCACUCUAAGAUUAUUCAACCCUGAUCACAUGUGACGUGACGUAUUCAUAUAAUGUCUAACUCUCAUCACUCAAAGUCCUCACGAAGCACAAAGCAAGCAGCAUUCAGACACAAGGAAACAAUCUCAGGCAAAUAUGUCCUCAUAGAGGAAAGUUGUACUAGCAUACAAUGCUAAACACACACUAUCUGGCAUAACCCUAACAGGCUAUCCUACUACUGUCUACUCAAUUCUAGCAUGCAAUUUUCAUACACUGAAGCACAUAAGGCAGGCACAUAAGGCAUCACUCCUAGAUCCUUAGUCCUAUUCUAGUAUGUUGUUCUACUGAAACUGAUAAACAUAACAUAAGCUGGUAUGGGUACUUUGGGGAAUACUUACUUGAGCUCGGUCGGUCGCACACAUCACACACUUCGUUCCUUCUUAAACUCUUUACUUAGCUUUUCGGAAAAAUAUUUUCUUCCUUAAAAUCUUUUAAAUCCCUUGAUUUGAGUUCAGACACCCCCGAAGGCGUGUCCGAAUCCCUCAAACCAGGGCUCUGAUACCAACUUGUAACAUCCCAAAAAUAGGAGCAAAAAAUUUCAUUUUUAAAACAUACAAUUUGCAAAACAUUAGAAAUAAAACAUUCACGGAUUAUGUCAUUUCAUAAAAGGUGUUGCUUGUUUGGAAACCAUUUCAUAAAACAUAAUACUAUCAGAGUACAAAACCCCAGGAGGAUCCCAUAGUGCGGAAUACAAAGCGUGUGUGUGAUGUACCGCUACCGUGCUGGCUCCUUCCCCUUCGAAGAAGAGGUACCUGAAACCAAAACUGAAAACUGUAAGCACGAAGCUUAGUGAGUUCCCCCAUCUUACCACAUACCAUACAAUCACAUAUCAUACACACUGCCGGACAAUUCUGGGGUGCCUGACCUACCCGGUACGGCCAUUCUGGGGUGCCGACCUACCCGUGUCAAGCCGUUAUGGGGUGCUGACUACCCAUGUCAAGCCAUUCUGGGGUGCUGACUACCCAUCGGUCCUAACAACCGAUCCUAGGGGACUAUUUCACCCCCUACUGCUACUAUCACAUAUAUCAUAACAUAACAUAUUAUCAAACAUAUCUAGGGCGUCCGAUCUACCCUUCGGUCCUAACGACCGGGCUUGGGGACUAUUCCCCUCCUACUACCACUAUCACAUAUAACAUAUCAUGCCAGCAUAUAAAUAGAUCAUCACGUACUGUCAGACAUAUCUGGGGUGUCUGACCUACCCUUCGGUCCUAACAACCGAACUCCACUAUCAUCACAUAUUCAUAUCAGGCCAUCAUAUAACAUAUCAAGUAGUAGCAAACCCAGAUGAUAUCACAAAGAGAAUCAUCUAACAAACAACUCCUACUGGUGGGCCGACAUUGUGGCCGUAGACCCACCGCUACUGGAAGGUAACUCACCUCAAAGUAGCUGCUGAUCUGCGUGGGAAUUGACUGUCUUCUGCUGCUGCUGUCCCGGAAGUCCUCCGGCUAAAAUCCCCACGAAACACCCAGUCAAAUACUGCUAACCGUCCUCAGGGUAAAAUGACCAUUUACCCCCGACAGAGCCAAGAGUCAAAGUCAAAGUCAACUUCCAGUUGACCCGACUCGCCGAGUUGGCCUGCCAACUCGCCGAGUCCCUAUCCUUUUGUCUGAUCAUAACCCCGUCUCUACUCGACGAGUUUUCCUUUUAAUCCAAGGUCCAAUAGUCCUUCAUCCUACUCGUCGAGUUGUAUGAACAACUCGCCGAGUUCACGUUCAUCCGAAGAACAUGCUAUGAUGCGACUCGUCGAGUUGUAUGAACAACUCGCCGAGUCUGUUCUUGAGGCAAGAAGAUUGCCUUGGACUCGCCGAGUCAGGGCAUUGACUCGCCGAGUUUCUUAACGGGUGAGUCUGGCUUCCGACUUACUGAGUCACACCCCAUGACUCACUACUCCACUCCGCAAACACAAAAAGGGGAAACUCGGGGACUCGCGACUCGACUCACCGAGUCCGAUGAACGACUCGCCGAGUCUAUCGCAUGCAAACACUAAAUAUUCGAUUUUGCUUGGAUCCAGCUCAUGCCAUACAUAGAUAUGGGUUUCUAGGGCCUGGUUAACACGUAAAGUUUCCAACUUUACGUGUAAAUAAACACCAAUGAAGGUUUUAGGGCUCAAAAUGCACUAAAAGAGUAGAUCUAGGGCUUUCAUGCAAUAUGGCUCCAUAAAGGCAGUAGAUCUGAGCUCCUGGAGCUUAAUCAUGCCUAGAUCUAAGGGUUAAUCAGCUUAUUACAAACCCUAAUUCAUAAUCAAGCUUGGAAAUGGCUUAAGAAGGACUUUAAUGGAGCUAUAAAGGUCUACCAGCAUGAAAACAGAGGGUAACUGAGUUAUACCUCAAGGGAAUAACUUGAAAUAACACCAAGAUGUCUGGCCUCCUUCUUCUCUUCUUGAUCUACUCUUCUCUUCUCUCAAAAUCUUCAAGAAACACACCAAAACACUUCAAUCUCUCAAGGAAUAAGGGUUUGGACGAUGUUGGGAGCUCUGAGGGUGAAAGGGGCGAGGUUGGGGCGCAUAAGGUUGGUUUAAAUAGGGUGCAAACCCUUGAAAUUUAGGGUUUCAUCAGAUAGCGGGGACUCGCCGAGUCCAGAAUGUGGACUCGCCGAGUCGCCAACUUAAACGUGCUCCCAAACCCGUCUCUACUCGGCAAGUCGGGCCUACAACUCGUCGAGUCUAAGGCCAAAAUGCAAAAUACUUAGAUAAAUUUUUACGUACCGGGAACCAGGUGCUACACACUAACGCCCCCAACAACAACAGAUUUCUUACUCCUUUCCUCCUAAAACCAUUUCCUCCUAAUUGCUCUGAUCGCACAGGGCCGUUCCCUUCCUAUCCAUAAUCCUCAUCGGAAACCAGCAAGAACAUCUGUCGUUACCUUCACCACCAAAAAGCACAACCCCUCCCUAUUUCUCCGAUCUCUAGUUCCUCCUGCACUGUUUCGAUCUCUCUUGUUUCCCUCUCCAACCCUUUAUUUCUUACCUAUUUUCUCUACCAACAAUCGCCAAAAAAAUUAUAAUCACCCAAGAUGACCAAAUUCUUGCUGGAGUUGUCAAAUAUGUCAGAAACCAUCUAAACUUCUAUAACAGGUCAUAAGUUUGAUGAGAAAAUGUUGACAAAAAAAACUCAAUGACUAAAUGAAUACCAAUAAAAAAAAGGUUACCUUUUAAAAUUAUUAUCCCAACAAAAAAUGACUGAAACCAAUUCGAAAACACCUAUCCUAAAAGGGAAGUGAUUUGUACACAACAAUUUUUCUCCGAUCACAACAAUUUAUGAUUUAUAGAGUUGCAUAGUACAAUAUUUUAAAGCAUAAGUUGUUGUGUAUGGAGAAAAUUUGUUAUCUAUAAAUAAGCUCCCAUCAUAAAAAGAUCAUAUAACCAAGACAAAACUGCAAAAAAUGGUCCUUAUGGUAUGUUAAAAUUUGCCACUUUGGUCCAAAAAGUUUUGGAGUUGCACCAGUGCUCCAAAACUUUCAUUUUAUUGCGAGUUUGGUCCAAAGCAAUUAAUUUUUUUUCAAAUGACGGAUUUGCCCAUUUUAUUUGUUUUUUUCAUUUUCUUUUCUUUACUAUUAUCUAAUUACAAAUUUACAAUAAAAUGAAAAAUGAAAAACAAAAUAUAACCCUUUUCCCUCUUUACAGACUCAAUAUCACCCUCUUUCUAUUUACUGUUCGGCAAAAAUAUCAACGCCAUUGCCGGAAACUCGAAUCCACCACUGCCACUGUCGUCUUCUAUCUCCUGCUCUGACGACAGCUUCGCCUUUGCAAAUGCUACCUCGACAAACACGACAACAAUCAUUUCGUCUCUCUCCUUCUCCGAAGACAUCACCGUUUGAAACCCCAGCGUUCAUCGACUUGGCGACGACAAUUGAUUGCUAGGCUUUUGGCGACUGAUUGUGGUGGCAGUCGUCUCUCUUUCCUGCUAAGGUUUUGGACCACCACCGUUUGCAGAUCCGAUUUGCCGCCUACCAUAGAGGUUAUGUCCAGAUUUACAGAGCUAGGGUUUGUAGCGCCGGCACCCUCAACCGUCGUCUUCAUUGAGUUGCAGAUUAGAGCUAAUAUUUGCAGAUCUAAAUGUCGCAAAUGGUGGUGAUGUGAACGUCAUCGUCUGUGAUGUUUGAACGUCGAUCUGUCUCUUUCCUUUCUGGCAAGUCGUGAAGCUACAUAUCUAAACAUCGCAAAUGGUGGUGAUCUAAACAAUAUCAAUGAUGUGUAAAAUACCAACCCGAUGAUUUCUUGAUGUAUCUCCCAUAUUUUCUAGAACUAGAAUCCAAAAGAAAUUGCUUGACAGAUGGAAUCCAACAAAGCAAAAAAUGAUCGCAUAGAAUUCUCUGAGUUAAAUCAUGUUGUACUACCUUCGAUCAUGACAUCAUCCAACUAGGUUUAUUAGUUUUGAGAUCCAAAAACUCCAAACCAUUUUUUCAUCCGAUCAUAUUUCACUUAUGCCAAGCUUGUGUAUGUUUUUAUCCACUAUGUAUUUACGCACAACUUUGUAAAUUUAUCAAUUCUUAAAUCUUCACAAUAACGAGAAUUACCCAUUCAAACUUUUACUAACGAGAAAACUAAAUAAAGAGAGGAUUAUGGUACAAAACUCAGGAUGUUGGUGGGGUAAUGGUAUUAGGAUAGAUUUAUUUUUAUUUUUGUUUUAUUUUAAUUACAUAAAUAGUUAAGUAAAUCAAAAGAAAAAAGUAAAACCAAUUAUAAAGGGUAAAAAGAUCAUUUUACACACUUUCAAUAUUUAAAACAAAACAACUCGUAACAAAAUGAAAGUUUUGAACAAUUGGUACAACUCCAAAACUUUUUGGAUGACGGUGACAUUUUUAUAGUUGAGAAAUUAAAUAUAUUUCUUAUAUUUUAUUCUUAUUAUUCUUUUAUCCAUAUUAAAUAGUAACAAGUGAAUUAAAAUAUUAUCAAUUUUAUUAAGGGCGUGUUUGGCACGAAGCUUUUGAAAGUGUUUGGGAGCUUCCGACUUUUAGUUUUUGACAAAACGCUCUAGUUUAAACAAAAAACUUCGUUUGUCAGUACGAGCGUUUAGCUUUGAGUUUAAACAAAACGUUUCAAAUCUAAAAGUUAUUUCAUCUAGCGUUUAACAAAACGCUAGUGAGCUUUUGAAAUCAGUUUCUAUAAUUACCCUUAAAAAUAUAUUUAUAUAUUUAUUUAUUUUUAAUCAAUUGUCCUUUUAUGUAAUUUUAUAUAUUUCAAAACAGCUACUUUUACAAAACACUUAUAUAACAAAUAAAAAUUAAGACUUUACCCUACCAACUAUAUGCUAACGGUUUUCGGCUAUCAUCUAAUUUUACGAAAAUGUAUUAUAGUUUUGCGUCACCAACAUGGUACCGUUUCUGUACGUACACUCCUUAUUGCCUAAUCAUAAUAAUUUCUAAAAUAUCCGAUAGAAUCUUUUAGUGGCCUACAUCAGAGCCCAACUACAGCCCAAAAACCUAAAACCCUAAUCCUACCGCCGGUGUGGGGCCAUUGAUCGGAACGCAUGCGUUUACAUUCCGCUAUCUUAUCAUCACUCGCUCACCACCGCAUCACCUCCAGAUUCCGCCAAAUAUAUUCUUUACAACGACCGGCUAACGCCACCGCACCAAUGGCCACCUCCGAGGACUCACUCCGACGAGCUCUUGCUGAGAAACAAUCCACGAUCGAUGCUAGCGGCAACACGAUACGUCAAUUGAAGUCUUCCGGCGCAUCAAAGUCGGAGAUAGACGAAGCCGUUAAAGCACUCAAUGCUCUGAAACUCGAGAAAACAUCGAUCGAGACUCAACUGAAAGCUUCCAUUUCUGGUGAUGCUAACGGCUCUGUUAUGAGCAGAGAUGCGUUCCGUCAGGCCGUCGUUAAUACGCUCGAAAGACGUUUGUUUUACAUCCCGUCGUUCAAAAUUUACAGAGGUGUUGCUGGUUUGUAUGAUUAUGGUCCUCCUGGCUGCGCCGUUAAGUCUAACGUCCUUGCUUUCUGGCGUCAGGUAUGUUGAGUUUUAUCUGAAUUUAUAAUCGCCACGAUGACAAUCAUACCGCUUAAAUUUUAUACUCUCAUCUCCUGCUUGAAAAUGCAAUCGGCUUUGUGAUAUCCUGUUCAUUUCGGAAAUAGGAUUUGCCGCUGUUUUCGAACUGAUUGGCUUUUCACCUCAAAAUUGAUAUGAAUCGCAAAACUUUCUGGAUAGUCCAAUAUAUACGAGGCUUGCAACAAAAUUCAUAUCGAUCUCAAAUCUAGGAUUUUUAAAUUUUCGCAUAAGGUAUUGAAGUGUGUUGCAAUUUGGGGGAGAAAGAGGAUUGAAUUCCAAACAUGCAGCGCCAAUGUGUGACUAAUUUUUCCUUGUAGGUAUUCGUCUCAUUUUUUACAAAAUGGACAGAAUUCAAUAUGAACUUGGUUGUUUUUUUGUUAUUUAGCUCCUAAAGUUUCUAUUGUCUAAGCCAGUUAUAAAGUAAUUUUCUGUACAACUAGGAGGAUUGGUGUCUAAUCUGAAAUAAAAGAUAAAUCAUUGGACACAGUUUUCCCAGAAUCAAAAGCCUUAAACAUCUAUACCUUACUUGAGUUUUAAAAUUGUGUAGCUUAAAGCAAUUUGCUACCAAGCAUCCCUAAGAAAGACUGACUAUUUAACAAACCAUUAAUUGACAUAUGAAUCUGUUUGAAUCAUGCGAGAGCUUAUUCAUUAUCCGAAGAUACAAUAACAUCAAAACUCAAUAAUGGAGAUAUGCCUCAACUAAACAACAAUAGAUUGGAUGUUGGAGAUGAUAGUGGAGGAUACUAAUAUCAUUUUGCUUAAAUUUUCUCAGCAUUUUGUUCUUGAGGAGGACAUGCUAGAAGUUGAUUGUCCUUGUGUCACCCCUGAAGUUGUCUUGAAAGCAUCUGGUCAUGUUGAUAAAUUUACCGACCUGAUGGUUAAAGAUGAAAAGACUGGAACAUGUUACAGAGCUGAUCACCUUCUUAAAGAUCAUUGUAAAGAUAAGCUUGAAAAAGAUCUGGCUAUGAGUGCUGACAAGGCUGCUGAAUUCAAACACAUUCUUGCUGUUCUUGAUGAUCUUUCAGCUGAGGAACUUGGUGCAAAGAUCAAGGAAUAUGGCAUUGUUG
rnacentral:lncRNA from 1 species